rnacentral:lncRNA from 1 species
AGAGGCCGGAAGUGGCCUGUCUGGCGCUGAGGCUGCUGGGAGAUGCAGUUCUGUGUACUUUUCUACGUCGGCGAGGCUGUCCUUUCUACCUCCGCGGGGCUGGCGAUUAAUCUCUUCCUCUCCUGCUCUGCUUUUUCACAUUCGCCCGGGACCCUCAGAUCUUUCGGCCUCCCUGUGAACAAACCACGCAUGUCACCUUCUGCUGGAUUCUGGUGUUUUCUACUUUCUACAGCUUCCAGGCCACCCACCUGGAGUCAUCAAGAACCCAGUGCCUGCAGUCAACCUGCCUUCCCAGCGUGCCCUGUUCCUAUGCCUUGGGCCUGGCCCCAUGUCAGCUUUCACCUGGAAUUCUGCAAAGCCUCCUUGAGGUCUCCGAGCCUCAAUGCUCGACCUCUGCAGUCUCUUCUUUGCUGCAUCGAACGAGCAGAAUUGUAAACCUCAGUUCCGUUUCACUCCUCCCCUGCCUGAGACCCUUCGUGGUUCCCCAGGGUCCUCAGGACAAAGCCCAAGCCCCUUGGCCUGGCGAUCAGUGCCCUGUGCUCACCUCUCCAGCUCCAGCUCAGAUAGCUCUGCCCGCACAAGCUGGCUUUGCACCAGAGGGCCACCUUCCUCCCCUUCAGCCUCCUCCUCCCGAGGAGCCCUUGGGAUGCCACCUCCCAGGAGGCUCUCCCCCCCCCCGCCCCCGUCUCUACACCUGUCAUGAGCAGUUAUUGCCAUAGUUCUGCCUGACUAUGUCACGGUUGCAUCUUCUCUCUUCUCCGACCCCCAGCACAGUGCUUCUCGAGGGAGGUGCUUCCUCAAUAUUGUCGUCUCAUUUUAUGUUUGGAAAAUGAAAAAAAAAAGAAUGUUUUUUUCCUUUGUCAGAAAUUUAAGAAAUAUAGGAAAGCAAAAAAAAAAAAAAAAAGGAAUAAUGUGUUUUCACUAACCUGACCUAGUCCCCGUGAUCAUUUUUGCUUGUUUCUACUUCUUUCUUUUUUUCUUUUUUGGCUGUAGCCAGGGCAUGCAGAGGUCCCCAGGCCAAGGACCAAACCUACACCACAGCAGUGACAAGAUCAGAUCCUCGAUCCACUGCCCCACCAAGGAACUCCUAUUUCCACUGCUUUCUAGGUCAUUUAAAAACAUUUCACAGGGGAGUUCCCAUCGUGACUCAGUCGUUAACGAAUCCGACUAGGAACCAAAGGUCGCAGGUUCGAUCCCUGCCCUUGCUCACUGGGUUAAGGAUCCAGCAUUGCCGUAAGCUGUGGUGUAGGUCACAGACGCAGCUCCGAUCCCGAGUUGCUGCGGCUCUGCUGUAGGCCAGCGGCUAUGGCUCCGAUUAGACCCCUAGCCUGGGAACCUCCAUAUGCCUUGGGUGUGGCCCUAGAAAAAGACAAAAAAAAAAAAAAAUUAGACCUUAACAGAAAAACUAAAGUCUCUCUACCCCAGAGCCAAGUGGUGUCAAAUCAAUUAUCUUCCAAUCUUGUAAACACCUUUAUUUGUGCAUCGACUUAACCUGCAGAAAAAGGAGUGUGUGGUACUUUUUAUUUGUCGUAACAGUGUUUUGCUAUAAUAUGGUUUUUCACUCCACACUGUUUUUUGAGAUUAGUCCAUGUUACAAACAAAUUUUGAAGCAUAAUCUCCAGGCGACACCCGAGCUUCAAGGUGAAGGGCCUGGAGUCAAAAUCCUGCUUAGUGCUUAGUCCCUGUGUGAUUUUAUGUCCUGAGCCUCAGUUUUCUCUGUAGGGAAAUUAAGAUAACAUAGACCCUAAAAGAGCGUCUCGUAAGGUUGAGAAAAGCAAAUGCACAGUGCCUGACACACAGCAAAUGCCCAGAGAACGUGUGACUAAAGGCACUGGCUUGUAGGUUAAUUUGGAAACGAUCUGCAUCUUUACAAUAUUCCAGCCUCCCACCUGGCGAUGAGACGUCACUCUUCAUUUUUUCAGAUCUUUUAGGUCCUUCCCCAAACAUGUAGAGAUUUCUCUUUCAAAAAAAAAAUUCUGCACAUUUUUAUCUAUUUACUUGUCUUUUUUUAGGGCUGCACCCAUGGCAUACGGAGGUUCCCAGGCUUGGGGUCCAUUUGGAGCUGUAGCCGCCCUACACCACAGCCACAGCAAUGCAGGAUCCAAGCCACGUCUUUGACCUACACCAGCUCACAGCAAUGCCAGAUCCUUAACCCACUGAGCGAGGCCAGGGAUCAAACCCGCUCUGCCACCCCUCUAUGUCAACAAUAGUUCAACAGAUUAGAAAAAAGACUGAUGUAAUUAAGAGGAAAGAAGAAGAAUAUGUGACCGUCUCAGAUGCAGAAGAAGCAUUCAGUGAAAAAGAGCAUCCCUGAUAAAACUGUGCCUUAAUGUAAUCAGGUGUCUGUCAAAAGCCUCAGCAAAACUCAGAUGGACAGGUUGGCUUGCCAAUCACCCAUGUAGGCAUUAUUUUAAGAUAAGAAAUGGGGAGUUCUCUUUGUGGCCCAGCAGGUUAAGGACCCGACAUUGAGUCUGUAAAGAUACGGGUUGGAUCCCUGGCCUUGCUCAGUGGGUUAAGGAUCUGGUGUUGCUGUGGCUGUGGUGUAGGCCUNCUG